UGACACACAAUCCCAUCAGUGUUUAUCAGUAACCGUGUUUUGGCACGCUACGCUCAGUUAAUUGUCAACCAAUGUUGCUUAGGUAAUUACAGUAAGGCAGGACAGCUGGCAGACAAAGGCUCGUAAAAAAUAAAACCAACACACAGUCAGGAGCCCAAACUCAACAGGAAGUUUAGAGGUUGCCAUAGGGAACAAAGGCACCUGAGCCCACAACAGGAAUACAGGUUUUAAGGUUAUGACAAGUCUUGUAACACUCUAUAUGCAACUGGACUCCCGUCAGCUGUACAGUGCGCUGUAGACUCUUAGAUAUCGCCAGAUCAUGGGUUGCAACACGAGCCAGGGUGCCACAGUGGUGGACCCUUCUGAAAAGCCAGAGGAGAGGCCGAAGACAGCCACUUCCAUCAAGGAGGUGUCUGCAGAGGAAACCAAUACAAGAGAUGAAGCCAAGGAUGAAAAAACGGAGGGUUCCAGCUGAGUGCCAUCUUUAUGUCUUAACUCUUCUCAAAUGUGUACAGAUUGGCCUGUCCGGGGUGAAGGAGGGCCUGUCAGCAGGAGGAGGCGACGCUGCACUACUGUCCAUCAACCUCUGAGUCAUCUGGGCCAGCCACACACACCAAUAAUACACACACUUCCAUUAUGCCAUUAUGUUUAUUUUCCAGACAUUAUUCUGUGAUAAAUAUACAGAUUCAAUCUC